rnacentral:rRNA from 1 species
GCAUAUCAAUAAGCGGAGGAAAAGAAACUAACAAGGAUUCCCCUAGUAACUGCGAGUGAAGCGGGAAAAGCUCAAAUUUAAAAUCUGGCAGUCUUUGGCUGUCCGAGUUGUAGUCUGGAGAAGUGCUUUCCGCGCUGGACCGUGUACAAGUCUCUUGGAAUAGAGCGUCAUAGAGGGUGAGAAUCCCGUCUUUGACACGGACUACCAGUGCUUUGUGAUGCGCUCUCAAAGAGUCGAGUUGUUUGGGAAUGCAGCUCAAAAUGGGUGGUAAAUUCCAUCUAAAGCUAAAUAUUGGCGAGAGACCGAUAGCGAACAAGUACCGUGAGGGAAAGAUGAAAAGCACUUUGGAAAGAGAGUUAAACAGUACGUGAAAUUGCUGAAAGGGAAACGCUUGAAGUCAGUCACGUUGGUCAGAACUCAGCCUGGCUUUUUUUGCUUGGUGCAUUUUCUGAUUAACGGGCCAGCAUCAAUUUUGACCAUUGGAAAAAUUCUUUGGGAAUGUGGCUCCUCCGGGAGUGUUAUAGCCCAGGGUUGUAUACAGUGGUUGGGAUUGAGGAACUCAGCACGCCUUCAUGGUCGGGGUUCGCCCACGCUCGUGCUUAGGAUGCUGGCGUAAUGGCUUUAAACGACCCGUCUUGAAACACGGACCAAGGAGUCUAACAUGCCUGCGAGUGUUUGGGUGGAAAACCCGAGCGCGCAAUGAAAGUGAAAGUUGGGAUCUCUGUCGUGGAGAGCACCGACGCCCAUACCAGACCUUCUGUGACGGAUAUGCGGUUGAGCAUGUAUGUUGGGACCCGAAAGAUGGUGAACUAUGCCUGAAUAGGGUGAAGCCAGAGGAAACUCUGGUGGAGGCUCGUAGCGAUUCUGACGUGCAAAUCGAUCGUCAAAUUUGGGUAUAGGGGCGAAAGACUAAUCGAACCAUCUAGUAGCUGGUUCCUGCCGAA